UCCCUUGUCACACAGACACCACCCAGCAAGGCCAGCAUGCUUCUGCUCUGGAGGAGGGCUGGGGCAGAGCAGGGUUUGUGUGCUCUGCCACAUGCAGUCCUUGCCUUCCCUGAGAGGAUCAAAAGCAUCGUUUACAGCCGAGAUUAUCAAAGCCAAUCUUUUGGUCUCAUUGGUCAAACUGAGGAAAUCUCCCAAGUGCUUGUACUGCUAAAAUAAGAUCUUGUUCAGUGGAGAUUAUGCAGAACCAUCUCUUUCCAGGCACAUUUUGUUAGCAAGGGAUUAACUAGGAAUGUUGACAUUUAAGUUGUUGUCACUGCAUAUUUGAGGCUGAGUGUACAUUAAUUACAGGGCAGCACAGCUCCCAGCCUCAAAGGUCCUUUUUUUAACAGAAGAAGGAACCAAGGCUGUGCUUCCCAGUGUGUGAGAGGGGUCAGAACUCCAGGAAGGAUUUCAAGGGGGAAGAUCAGGGCCCAAGGGGAGACAGGCUGGUGCUACAGAGGCAGCCUCAGCCAACACCAUAUUCAGGUGAAUGGGGCAGUGUGCACUGAUGGCAGAGACCGUCAUUUCAUCUUUUCAUAUUUAAGGAAUUGGGCAAUUACUAGAGGUUCUUUGAUAAAUAUGGCAGAACCAUAUUUAUCUCCAAAAGGGAAAGGAAAAAAAAAAAAAAAAGAGAGAGAGAGAGAAAGGACAAUGUCAUUUCUGCAACUUAGUUUGUCCCCUUGGUGCUAGGAUAGCAGGUAACCUCCAGGGCCACGCUCCCCUUUAUCCAGCCUAGGCAUCUCAGAUGACUCUGAACUACACCAGCUCAAAAUAUCAGUACAGCCAUCCAUCACAUCUCACUCACGCUGGAUUUCAAAUCUCAUUAGGAUCCAAGAAAACGCAGGCAGAAAUUCACAGUUUUGUUAUUGUCCUAAGUAUUUCCAGCACAAAUACACACAAAAUACCACAAGAGCAACGGUGCCUCAGCACACGGACAUAUGGCAGGAGCAGAAAAAGCCGCUCCGGUGCAAUUGUUCAGCUCUAUUUCAUGGAGAGAGCUGCACAGGGGGAGGGCUGAGCGCCGGGGAGAGGAACAGAGAAACACGCCAGGCUACACAGGGCUGACAGAGGGAGAGCAGGACGGCAGGGAGGGCAGGGCAGCGAGAGACGCGUGCGACUCCAGGGGAGAGACAGCAACGGCGGCACGAACCCCCCAAGGAAAGGAAGGGGAAAAAGGCGGGGAGGGGGAGCUGGGGAGCAAAGCUGUCAUCACCAGCCCCGAACUUGUUAGGAGGAAUAAAAGGCUAACCUGAGAGGCACGAGAGAGCCCUCCCUCCCCAGCAGCCUGCAGCAUAUGGCAGCAGCAGCCUGCAGGAUUCCAGUGCCACGGAGCAUGGCUGCCUGCCCUCUGAUGCCUGCACCUUUCUGCAGCAUCCGGCAAGUGUGAGGAGGCAACGGGCAAAAUGCAGACUAGCCCACUGGGCUCACAGGAAAUUUCUCAACAUGUGGUGCUUCGUGUGAGUGGGAUAACUGUCAGACAUUGCCUCUAAGGACAUGUUCCUCAGGGGGCUUGGACUGCUCAGAAAUCCUGGAUUCCUCCCCCAAGGCAGGCAGCUCCUGGUUCCCUGUCUCUGCACUGCUGUGCCACAUCCUGCCUGCUGCAACUGUGCUGUGAAAAUUGGGACAUUUAUCUGAUCCUCUGUGCUCCACACAGACAGUUUAGCUAAGGACAUCUCCCUUCACAUCCUCACUGCAACUGGGAGCUCCCAAGAGAAGCACCUAAACCUCCCAGGGACUGCGAACAGUCCCAGGAGCGGGACUGGAAAUUAAGCUGAGAGAAUUACAGUGCCACAGAAGGGAUACCUGAGAUACCUGCAAAUGAGCUUGUGGAGGCUCUGGAAGAAGACCAGGAGCUCUGGGAGCUGACUAAAAUGUACAUGCAGCUGCAAACUACUUGACAUAAACCACUAGACACUGGCAGUAGAAAGUAUGGGUCUUGCAGACUUUGCAGAAAAUAAUAUAUUGCAAACUUGUUGCUUGAGAUGUGAGGGGCCAAACGUCACAGACAUCUUUUAUGGAAAAUCCUUUCUUUAGGAUUUUUCCUCUUGAGAAGCUGAGAAGCCUCAAGAACAAAAUGUAAAUAAAGGUUAUCUGCUGCUGUAGAAUGCA
rnacentral:lncRNA from 1 species